rnacentral:rRNA from 1 species
GACAGAGGGGGCAAGCGUUGCUCGGAAUUACUGGGCGUAAAGGGCGCGUAGGCGGGAUGGCAAGUCGGUCGUGAAAUCCUCCGGCUCAACCGAAGAACGUCGAUCGAUACUGCUGUUCUUGAGGGUUGCAGAGGAGACUGGAAUUCCCGGUGUAGCGGUGAAAUGUGUAGAGAUCGGGAGGAACACCGGUGGCGAAGGCGGGUCUCUGGGCAAUUCCUGACGCUGAGGCGCGAAAGCGUGGGGAGCAAACGGG